UGUCGAGGGGACUGUCAGUACUAGUGGGGCGUGAUUCAAGGUCACUGAGGUUGAUUUUUGUGUGGUGGUGGAAAUGGAGGAUACUGUGGGAGGUGAGACUGAGUUACGGGGAAGAGUUGAGCCUAGUUCCUCUCCUGGUCACUCUGCACAGCAGGAAUCAGAACGACUGAGAGCAACACAACUUUCUUCCAAACCCAACAUUGAUCUCUGUCCACCUCUCAUUGCUAUAAAAAAAGGCACAGAAAGUAAGCAUCGUAGACGUGGAGGGGACCUGAAGACAGGGAGCACUGAGCUAGGAGCUGCUGUCACAGGAUCACCUUUGACUGCUGUUCUUCCGGCAAGUGUUUUCAUGCUAAAACAGGUGGUGACUCAGCUACCUUUUGUCUGUUAAAUUUUCUUCUGUACAGAUAAUUCUUGAAGUCUUCAUUGACAAAAGUUUGGCCUAAUACUGGAGGGUGCUGAGUUCCUUCAGUCUCUGUUAAUUACAAGGAAAAAGAACAGUGAACCACUCAAAAGUGUGUGCAGUGUUAGGCCAUUUACUUUCUGUGCUCACAAUGUGUGUUGCUGGAAUUUUGGUUUCUGGGGUUUUUUUUGAUCAUCCGCUGGUUAAUCCCUUGCCAACAUGAAAAUUAGUAUUGGUAAAGAAUACUUGAAUAAGGUCGUGCUGCAUCAGGGAAGGCAUAUGCAAAACAAAAGAUCCAGCUGUUGGCAUGGAAGCCAGAGAUGAUAAAAGACUGACAUAGAUGAGUUGGGACCUACAUGGGAGAAGAAUGAACGGUGAAUCAAAAAAGACGUGUAGCUUUUAGAGACAUCAGAAUGGUACUGACCAACAACUACAGGUAUUCAGGCAUUCUUGGUGUCACCUGGUCUCAAAGAGAUGCAGGUAGAGACAGGAGUGAUGUAAAACAUCCAUUUAGAGUCUGGGGUAAGACCAAAUGGUAGGAGGCAAAGGUGGACGUUGGCCAGCUUUUUGUUUUUUUAAUCCAAAAGUAAAUCAGGAUUUAUCAAUUACAGUUCCUAGUUUAGAGUACUGGGAAGAUGAUGUAAUUUAUCUUUGUUUCUCUGCAAUAAAAAUUGUGAGGUACAGAGGCACUCCAGACAUCCCCAGACUUCAGAUACUCAUGUCAGUGGGAGCUGUGUGUAGAAGGAAAUGCUCAGUGUGGUGACUUUUUUACCCAAAUCUUUAGUUUUCCGUGUAGCUUCUGAAGAUUAUCUGUUGACUUAAAAAUGUUAUUCACCAUAUCUAUGUUCACACUGUUAUGAAGAUUUAAAAAAAUCCUUUGUCUACAUAAAAUUCCUUCUUUAUCAUUCUGGUAAUACCUUU